rnacentral:rRNA from 1 species
UACGAAGGGGGCUAGCGUUGCUCGGAAUCACUGGGCGUAAAGCGCACGUAGGCGGAUUGCUAAGUCAGGGGUGAAAUCCUGGAGCUCAACUCCAGAACUGCCUUUAAUACUGCCAGUCUCGAGUCCGGAAGAGGUAAGUGGAAUUCCUAGUGUAGAGGUGAAAUUCGUAGAUAUUAGGAAGAACACCGGUGGCGAAGGGCGGCCCACUGGUCCGGUACUGACGCUGAGGUGCGAAAGCGUGGGGAGCAAACAGG